CAGGCUGCAACUCGCCUGNACGAAGUUGGAAUUGCUAGUAAUCGUGGAUCAGCAUGCCACGGUGAAUACGUUCCCGGGUCUUGUACACACCGCCCGUCACACCAUGGGAGCCGGUAAUACCCGAAGUCAGUAGUCUAACCGCAAGGAGGACGCUGCCGAAGGUAGGAUUGGCGACUGGGGUGAAGUCGUAACAAGGUAAC
rnacentral:rRNA from 1 species